GUAGAUCCAGGAUGAGUGAACUAAGGGAGUGGAAGUAAUGUCAGAGGGUGGCUGAGGGGCUGAGCUCAGUACGGACUUGGUGACCUCCUGCUCCCCAUCUGAGGCCCAGGGCCCACAGACAGGCGGUGGAGCUGAAGUUCAGUUUCCAAGUUUAUUGCCGGGACCUAGGGAGGAGCUGGCUGAUGGACAGGCCUCUCGAAGACGUGUCCGACCUCUGGCCUGGGGUCCAGCCGGGCCUGACCCUGGUCUCUGUGGUCGUGAGGCAGGUCAGGCAGCAUGAAGAGAUCUGCCUUCUCAGGGUUUGGGUCACUGCAGGCAGGGACAGCUCGAGUGAGCAGCCUGGGGCAGCCGCCUCCUCCCUCCCUGCCCCACGGCUGCCCACACACCUGAGCAGAGCCACUUUCAGCAGAGCCUGGGUUUCCUUCCGCAGGGCCUUCACUUCAUCCUGGAUGGCCUGGGCCUCCUCCUGGAUCGCCUGGGCUCCCUCCUUCAGGCUCCGAUACAACAAGAAUCCUGUGCAUCUUCUGGCCAAGUAACCACAGACAUGGUUCUUCUUCACACUGAGCCCCCCUGCGCCUCUAGAUCCCCGUGGACUUGUGGCAUAGGCUUGUGGCUGUGUUAUAUUGUACCUUUCUAGGCAGCCUAAAAUUACACAAUUCCUGACCACGUGAUAUAAACCGACACUCUGCAGAGGGCCCUGUAACCCCAGAAAGUCCUUGAGUCCAGCGUAGUAGGGCUGCUGGAGAAUAGGCAGCUCUGUCACCAGGGGAACCUGGCUGCGGAACGAUCGAUCAAGAGUCAUGCCUCUGAGAAACUCACUUUGCAAACUAGGCUUAAAGAAACAACUCCAAAUAAAAGCAACUCACACGGACGACCACAAUAGCUGAUUUGCACCAUGAAGAAAAACUGGAAGUGGCCUAAAAGGCCCAAAUAUAAGAAAUGGUAAGGAAACAAAGACUUACUCACAUGCUGGGAUACAUUCACUCACGCGCUUACAGGCACAUUGCCUAUGGCAUAGGUCCUGGGAACAUAUAGAUGGACGCAACCUGGUUCUGCCCAGGAGAAGUUCCUGGAGGAUGGGGGAGGCUCAGGUUUGCAGAUGACCACAGUGCAUGGGGAUGAGCCACAAGAGGUCUGUACAGAGAGGCUGCAAGAAGAGGGAGUCAUGCCCUCUGCUUUGGAGCUCCGGAAAGACUACAUGGAGGAUGUGCCGCCUGGUCUCAAACAAGAACGCAGGGGAAUCCAGAGCAAGAGCUGUGGGGUCCUGCGAAGGGCCCACAGCAGGGCCUGGGCUGUAGCCCUCUGGGGAUGAGGAGGUAUGGGGAUCUUUGUGAGUCUGUCUAUGUGGGCUGUUUGGCCACAGUUCAGAGGGUGGGUGGAAGGAGGGAGGCACUGGGGGGAGAAUUGCCAAGGGUUUUGGAAGUGAAGAAGUUGGUGGCUGCGUGUGACAAGUGUCUAAACUGAGUUAAUCCUGGAGAAGGUGUGCAUGAGACCCUGACACACUUACUAUAGAAUGGGCCAGGUACCAUUGUACCCACGUAGCGUUGCCAAAUAAAACACAGAAUGCCAGGUUAAA